rnacentral:rRNA from 1 species
UGGCGGACGGGUGAGUAAUGCCUAGGAAUCUGCCUGGUAGUGGGGGAUAACGUUCGGAAACGAACGCUAAUACCGCAUACGUCCUACGGGAGAAAGCAGGGGACCUUCGGGCCUUGCGCUAUCAGAUGAGCCUAGGUCGGAUUAGCUAGUUGGUGAGGUAAUGGCUCACCAAGGCGACGAUCCGUAACUGGUCUGAGAGGAUGAUCAGUCACACUGGAACUGAGACACGGUCCAGACUCCUACGGGAGGCAGCAGUGGGGAAUAUUGGACAAUGGGCGAAAGCCUGAUCCAGCCAUGCCGCGUGUGUGAAGAAGGUCUUCGGAUUGUAAAGCACUUUAAGUUGGGAGGAAGGGCAGUUACCUAAUACGUGAUUGUUUUGACGUUACCGACAGAAUAAGCACCGGCUAACUCUGUGCCAGCAGCCGCGGUAAU